GAUUGCAGCUAAGAAGGACAUAAAUGCACUAGAUACCACCUGAUCUUGAAAGUUAAUCAAGAUCACCCCUGCUUUGUCCUUGGAUAGGAGACUGCCAAUGAAUAUCAGGUGCUGUAGGCU
rnacentral:rRNA from 11 species